rnacentral:lncRNA from 10 species
AUAUGUCCUGCAAGCUUAGGGGUGCUACAAGUUGACCACUGCAGCAGUAAAGAUGACUCUGAAGAACGGCGUGGGAUGGUUCCUUUCAAAUGCACUUGAGCAGCGGUCUCCAACCACAGGGCCACAGAGCUGGAGGUGGACAGUCUAGUUGCAGGAAAACAAGCUCAGAGAUCCCACUGAGUCUACAUUAUACUGGAUCUACCAUGAAAGACUUGUGAAUCCAGGAAGAGAGACUGACUGGGCAACAUGUUAUUCAGGUGGGAACAUCCAGUUGCAGGAAAACAAGCUUAACACGCCCACUGAUUCUACAUUAUGCUCCUACCUCCCGGCAGCCUCUCCAGGCCCAGAACUUUCUCCAGUCAGCCUCUACAGACCAAGCUCAUGACUCUCAAUGGCCUAUUUAGGCCCAUACCCUACGUCACGGCAGCCUCCGCAGAUGAGGCUACUGCCUCACAACAGCCUCCACAGGCACAGCUCCAUCGUUACAAUGGCCUCUUUAGACCCAGCUCCUGCCUCCCAGCCUUCUCUCCAGGCCCUGAACUUUCUCAGCUGAAGCGAUCCUCCCACCUCAA